rnacentral:snRNA from 1 species
AUACUUACCUGGCAGGGGAGAUACCAUGAUCAUGAAAGUGGUUUUCCCAGGGUGAGACUUAUCCAUUGCACUUCGGGUGUGCUGAUCCCUGUGAUUUCCCGAACUGUGGGAAAAUCAACUGCAUAAUUUGUGGUAGUGCGGGACUGUUUUGGGGUUUCCCCUGG